rnacentral:tRNA from 1 species
CCUCUCGUAGCCUAGUGGUAAGAAUACUGGUGCGUAAACCCAGAGGUUCGGGUUCGAUUCCCGGCGAGGGUG